UAAAAUUUAAAUUUAAAAUACUAAAAUAGUAAAUAAAUAUUUAUUGAAACUUAAAUAAUUUGGCGGUAUUUUAGUUCAUUUAGAGGAAUCUGUUUAAUAAUUGAUAUUCCACGAAUAAAUUUACUUAAUUUAUAAUUUUGUAUAUCGUUGUUGUAAAAAUAUUUUUAAAAAAAAUUAAUAUUUAAAAAUUAAUAAUUAAAAUUAAAUCAGAUCAAGAUGCAGAUUAUAAUUAAGAAUAUAAUGGAUUACAAUAAAUUUAUUUAAAUGGAUUUUAAUUUGUAAAAAUUAAUUGAAGGUGGAUUUAAAUGUAAUUUUAUUUAAUUUAAUAAAAUGAUUAAAAAUUAAAAUAUGU
rnacentral:rRNA from 1 species